rnacentral:rRNA from 1 species
UACGUAGGCUGCGAGCGUUAUUCGGAUUUACUGGGCGUAAAGAGUACCGAGGUGGCUCCUUAAGUUGGAUGUGAAAUCUCCCGGCUUAACUGGGAGGCGCCAUUCAAAACUGGGGAGCUUGAGGUCAGCAGGGGAAAGUGGAAUUCCCGGUGUAGUGGUGGAAUGCGUAGAGAUCGGGAGGAACACCAGUGGCGAAAGCGGCUUUCUGGACUGCACCUGACACUCUAGUGCGAAAGCGUGGGGAGCAAACAGG